rnacentral:rRNA from 1 species
GAUGAACGCUGGCGGCAUGCCUAACACAUGCAAGUCGAACGGAGUUACACGCUGAGAAGUUUUCGGACGGAUCUUGUGUAACUUAGUGGCGGACGGGUGAGUAACGCGUGAGUAACCUGCCUUUCAGAGGGGGAUAACAUUCUGAAAAGAAUGCUAAUACCGCAUAAUAUAAAAGUAUCGCAUGGUACAGUUAUCAAAGGAGCAAUCCGCUGAGAGAUGGACUCGCGUCCGAUUAGCUAGUUGGUGGGGUAAAAGCCUACCAAGGCGACGAUCGGUAGCCGGACUGAGAGGUUGACCGGCCACAUUGGGACUGAGACACGGCCCAGACUCCUACGGGAGGCAGCAGUGGGGGAUAUUGCGCAAUGGGGGAAACCCUGACGCAGCAAUGCCGCGUGAAGGAAGAAGGUUUUCGGAUUGUAAACUUCUUUUGUUAAGGACGAAACAAAUGACGGUACUUAACGAAUAAGCUCCGGCUAACUACGUGCCAGCCGCCGCGGUAAGAC